rnacentral:rRNA from 1 species
GGUGAACGCUGGCGGUAGGCCUAACACAUGCAAGUCGAACGGCAGCACAGUAAGAGCUUGCUCUUACGGGUGGCGAGUGGCGGACGGGUGAGGAAUACAUCGGAAUCUACUUUUUCGUGGGGGAUAACGUAGGGAAACUUACGCUAAUACCGCAUACGACCUACGGGUGAAAGCAGGGGAUCUUCGGACCUUGCGCGAUUGAAUGAGCCGAUGUCGGAUUAGCUAGUUGGCGGGGUAAAGGCCCACCAAGGCGACGAUCCGUAGCUGGUCUGAGGGGAUGAUCAGCCACACUGGAACUGAGACACGGUCCAGACUCCUACGGGAGGCAGCAGUGGGGAAUAUUGGACAGUGGGCGCAAGCCUGAUCCAGCCAUACCGCGUGGGUGAAGAAGGCCUUCGGGUUGUAAAGCCCUUUUGUUGGGAAAGAAAAGCAGCAGGUUAAUACCCCGCUGUUCUGACGGUACCCAAAGAAUAAGCACCGGCUAACUUCGU